rnacentral:rRNA from 1 species
AGAGAGAGACAUGCGCGCAUAUCAAUAAGCGGAGGAAAAGAAAGCUAACAAGGAUUCCCCUAGUAACGGCGAGUGAAGCGGGAAGAGCUCAAAUUUGAAAUCUUAAAGGGUUUCCCUUACGAAUUGUAGUUUAAAGAAGUGUUUUCUGUUGAGGUUUUGGUAAAAGUUCUUUGGAAUAGGACAUCAUAGAGGGUGAGAAUCCCGUAUUUGACCUUUACUUUCAACUUUGUGAUACACUUUCAAAGAGUCGGAUUGUUUGGGAAUGCAGUCCAAAGUGGGUGGUAAAUUUCAUCUAAAGCUAAAUAUUGGCGAGAGACCGAUAGCGAACAAGUACCGUGAGGGAAAGAUGAAAAGAACUUUGAAAAGAGAGUUAAACAGUACGUGAAAUUGUCAAAAGGGAAGCGUUUGACACCAGUGUUGUUUUUCUGAAAAUCAAUUAAAGAACUGUUUAGUGCUAAGCUUGUUUAGACUUUAUCAGCUGUACUGUUUAGUUUUGAGCUUUUCUUUAAUGCACUUUUCAGUUAACAAGUCAACAUCAAUUUCUUUUGCUGUAAAAAAGCUUGAGGAAGGUGGCUUGAGAUUCGUCUUAAGUGUUUAUAGCCUCUUGCCUAUGCAGUCGGAGAGAUUGAGGUCUGCAGCGUAGAUCCUUCGGGGCUAAAUGCAUUUGUGCUAAGUUAUAAGCAUUUUAUAGACAACUUGUUGACUAUGAUUUGUCUUGUAGCUUACUCGCUUAUGUUAUUUUACCUACGCUUAGGAUGUUGACGCAUGAGAUAUACGC